GCCUGGGUCUGUACCUGGGGGGUUCCAGGGGUCUUUGAAGGCUGCUCUCCGACUCCAAGUAGGGGGAGAAGCUGAUGCCCAGGACGCCACUGAGCUGGCCCCGGUUACUGGGCAGCCCCCAGUGGCCACCCACUGGACUUCAUGAUACUGGAUGUGGAUUAAGGAAUAUUGAUGUUUGCUCGCCACAGAGGCCACACUGUGCACCUCUGGGGUCUCCAGAGGAAGGAGAGGCCCAGUCCCUGCACUCGGGGCCCCAGGUGCACAUACAGGUUGUCCCCAGCCAGGGAAGACUCCGAGACACUGUGUUCCAGCCAUAGGGAGAGAAGAGAACAGAAUGCGCACCACGUCCUAUGCUGCUCCCGUCACUCCUGAGCCCAUCCCAGCCCAGAGGAGCCACCUCAGGGGAGGCGGGCAUCAGAUCAGAAAGCACUGGGGUCCCCGGCAUACGGAGGGUGGGAAGGGGCAUGGGAUUUGUUGUUCCGGCCCUGGAGUUGGGGAAAAGGAAAAGAGGCUUGGAGAAGGACCCCCCAGCAUCCUCCAGUCAAGGACUGGCAGCAGUGUUUCAUUGAGACUGCAGUUACCAUGUCACCCCCCACAAACCCCGCGUGGGUCAGUGUCCAGCAUCUGCAGAGGACAGCCUGGUGGGCGGCCCCUGUGGGGCUGUGUACACAGGCGGUGGGAGUGGAUGGAGUGUGAGCCAGCCAGGGUGCCCAAGGAGGCCUCCACCAGUGUGGGGGGUGGUCGUCUGUGCUGGUGGCAGGAUCUGCAGGUGCAUGUGGGGUGUGCAGGUGCGUGUGGGGUGUGCAGGUGCGUGUGGGGUGUGCAGGUGCAUGUGGGGUGUGCAGGUGCGUGUGGGGUGUGCAGGUGCAUGUGGGGAGUGCAGGUGCAUGUGGGAGGGGGUCAGGUGUGUGGGCGUGUGGUGCUGGUUGUGAACCUCCCCGUGGCUGUAAGCAUGUGUUUUUGCAGCUCUCCAAAGCCCCUUGUGUGGGCUCCACAUUCUGCUUGCAGUUGGGGUCCUGGGAGCAAGCCGGGCCUUGUGGCAGCCGUGCUGGCAGGGCCUGAGAGGGCUCCGGCAGGGCCCCCUGAGUCAGGAGCUCAGAGCUGUCCUUCCCUCCUGCCCUCAGAGGGGCCAGCUCCUGUAGCCUGCAGCCAGGGCCGCAGAGCCUCCCCCAUGGGCACCCAACCUUUUCUCUCCUCCCUGGCCACUGACUCCCUGUGCUCACUCCAGCCACGCUGAC
rnacentral:lncRNA from 1 species